rnacentral:rRNA from 1 species
GAUGAACGCUGGCGGCGUGCCUAAUACAUGCAAGUCGAGCGAACGGACGAGAAGCUUGCUUUUCUGAUGUUAGCGGCGGACGGGUGAGUAACACGUGGAUAACCUACCUAUAAGACUGGGAUAACUUCGGGAAACCGGAGCUAAUACCGGAUAAUAUUUUGAACCGCAUGGUUCAAAAGUGAAAGACGGUCUUGCUGUCACUUAUAGAUGGAUCCGCGCUGCAUUAGCUAGUUGGUAAGGUAACGGCUUACCAAGGCAACGAUGCAUAGCCGACCUGAGAGGGUGAUCGGCCACACUGGAACGGAGACACGGUCCAGACUCCUACGGGAGGCAGCAGUAGGGAAUCGUCGGCAAUGGGCGAAAGCCUGACGGAGCAACGCCGCGUGAGUGAUGAAGGUCUUCGGAUCGUAAAACUCUGUUAUUAGGGAAGAACAUAUGUGUAAGUAACUGUGCACAUCUUGACGGUACCUAAUCAGAAAGCCACGGCUAACUACGUG